CCUACGGGUGACAGCAGUGGGGGAUAUUGCACAAUGGGGGAAACCCUGAUGCAGCAACGCCGCGUGAGUGAAGAAGGAUUUCGGUAUGUAAAGCUCUAUCAGCAGGGAAGAGAAUGACGGUACCUGACUAAGAAGCCCCGGCUAACGACGUGACAGCAGCCGCGGUAAUACGUAGGGGGCGAGCGUUAUCCGGAUUUACUGGGUGUAAAGGGAGCGUAGACGGCUGGUCACGUCUGAAGUGAAAGCCCGGGGCUUAACCCCGGAACGGCUUUUGACACUGCGCAGCUAGAUGGCUGGAGAGGUAAGCGGAAUUCCUAUUGUAGCGGUGCACUGCGUCGAUCUUAGGAGGAACACCAGUGGCGACGGCGGCUUACUGGACUGUAACUGCCGUUGAGGCUCGAACGCGUGUGGAGCACAC
rnacentral:rRNA from 1 species